AUACGGAGGAUCCGAGCGUUAUCCGGAUUUAUUGGGUUUAAAGGGUGCGCAGGCGGCCAUUUAAGUCAGCGGUUAAAUCGUGGGGCUCAACCCCAUUCUGCCGUUGAUACUGGGUGGCUUGAUUGCGGUCGAGGUUGGCGGAAUUCGUUGUUAAGCGGUGAAAUGCAUAGAUAUCACGAAGAACUCCGAUUGCGAAGGCAGCUCACUGGACUGCAACUGACACUGAUGCUCGAAAGUGUGGGUAUCAAACAGGAUUAGAUACCCUGGUAGUCCACACAGUAAACGAUGAAUACUCGCUGUUUGCGAUAUACAGUAAGCGGCCAAGCGAAAGCAUUAAGUAUUCCACCUGGGGAGUACGCCGGCAACGGUGAAACUCAAAGGAAUUGGCGGGG
rnacentral:rRNA from 1 species